UACGUAGGGGGGCAAGCGUUGUCCGGAAUCAUUGGGCGUAAAGAGCGUGUAGGCGGUUCGGUAAGUCGGCUGUGAAAGUCCAGGGCUCAACCCUGGGAUGCCGGUCGAUACUGCCGGACUAGAGUUCGGAAGAGGCGAGUGGAAUUCCCGGUGUAGCGGUGAAAUGCGCAGAUAUCAGGAGGAACACCAAUGGCGAAGGCAGCUCGCUGGGACGUGACUGACGCUGAGACGCGAAAGCGUGGGGAGCAAACAGG
rnacentral:rRNA from 1 species